rnacentral:rRNA from 1 species
AUUGAACGCUGGCGGCAGGCCUAACACAUGCAAGUCGAGCGGUAGCACAGAGAGCUUGCUCUCGGGUGACGAGCGGCGGACGGGUGAGUAAUGUCUGAGAAACUGCCCGAUGGAGGGGGAUAACUACUGGAAACGGUAGCUAAUACCGCAUAACGUCGCAAGACCAAAGAGGGGGACCGUCGGGCCUCUUGCCAUCGGAUGUGCACAGAUGGGAUUAGCUAGUAGGUGGGGUAACGGCUAACCUAGGCGACGAUCCCUAGCUGGUCUGAGAGGAUGACCAGCCACACUGGAACUGAGACACGGUCCAGACUCCUACGGGAGGCAGCAGUGGGGAAUAUUGCACAAUGGGCGCAAGCCUGAUGCAGCCAUGCCGCGUGUAUGAAGAAGGCCUUCGGGUUGUAAAGUACUUUCAGCGGGGAGGAAGGUGUUGAGGUUAAUAACCUCAGCAAUUGACGUUACCCGCAGAAGAAGCACCGGCUAACUCCGUGCCAGCAGCCGCGGUAA